CUCCGCUUGGUGUAGUUGGUGUACGUACAAACCUUCUCCCACUACCCUUAAUUCAUCAUCUAACAUUCCACUAGUUAUCACGUUCGACUGUAAAUCGAAAGGUCCCUAGUUCGAUUCUGGGAGCGGAGA
rnacentral:tRNA from 1 species